rnacentral:rRNA from 1 species
AGCGAACGUUUGCGGCGGGCCUAACACAUGCAAGUCGAACGGGCUAGCAAUAGUCAGUGGCGCACGGGUGCGUAACACGUGGGUAAUCAACCCUUCAGCUCGGGAUAACGCCUUGAAAGGGGCGCUAAUACCGGAUACGACGCGAGGAGCUUCGGCUGCUCGCGGGAAAGAUUCGCAAGGAUCUCUGAAGGACGAGCCUGCGGCCCAUCAGCUAGUUGGUGAGGUAAGAGCUCACCAAGGCGAAGACGGGUAGCUGGUCUGAGAGGAUGAUCAGCCACACUGGAACUGAGACACGGUCCAGACUCCUACGGGAGGCAGCAGUGGGGAAUAUUGCGCAAUGGGCGAAAGCCUGACGCAGCCACGCCGCGUGAGCGAUGAAGACCUGGUCGUAAGACGUCUGUGGGAGGAGGAAGAAGUAAAG